GACGAACGCUGGCGGCGUGCUUAACACAUGCAAGUCGAACGAUGAUGCCCAGCUUGCUGGGUGGAUUAGUGGCGAACGGGUGAGUAACACGUGAGUAACCUGCCCCUGACUCUGGGAUAAGCGUUGGAAACGACGUCUAAUACUGGAUAUGACUGCCGGCCGCAUGGUCUGGUGGUGGAAAGAUUUUUUGGUUGGGGAUGGACUCGCGGCCUAUCAGCUUGUUGGUGAGGUAAUGGCUCACCAAGGCGACGACGGGUAGCCGGCCUGAGAGGGUGACCGGCCACACUGGGACUGGGAAACGGCCCCGACGCCUACGGGAGGCAGCAGUGGGGAAUAUUGCACAAUGGGCGAAAGCCUGAUGCAGCAACGCCGCGUGAGGGAUGACGGCCUUCGGGGUGUAAACCUCUUUUAGUAGGGAAGAAGCGUAAGUGACGGUACCUGCAGAAAAAGCACCGGCUAACUACGUGCCAGCAGCCGCCGUAA
rnacentral:rRNA from 1 species